rnacentral:rRNA from 1 species
GACGAACGCUGGCGGCGUGCUUAACACAUGCAAGUCGAACGGAAAGGCCCUGCUUUUGUUGGGUGCUCGAUUGGCGAACGGGUGAGUAACACGCGAGUAACCUGCCCUUGUCUUUGUGAUAACUUCAGGAAACUGGGGCUAAUACCGGAUAGGAGCUCCUGCUGCAUGUUGUGGGUUGGAAAGUUUCGGCGGUUGGGGAUGGACUCGCGGCUUAUCAGCUUGUUGGUGGGGUAGUGGAUGACCAAGGGUUUGACGGGUAGCCGGCAUGAGAGGGUGACCGGCCACAAUGGGACUGAGAGACGGCGCAGACGCCAACGGUAGGCAGCGGGCGGGAAUAUGGCACAACGGGCGCAAGCCUGAUGCAGCAGUGUCGCGUUCGGGAUGCCGGCCUUCGGGUUGUAAACCGCUUUCGCCUGUGACGAAGCGGGAGUGACGGUAAUGGGUAAAGAAGCAACGGCUAACUACGUG